CUUGGUCAUUUAGAGGAAGUAAAAGUCGUAACAAGGUCUCCGUAGGUGAACCUGCGGAAGGAUCAUUACAGAGUUCAUGCCCGAAAGGGUAGACCUCCCACCCUUGUGUAUUAUUACUUUGUUGCUUUGGCGAGCUGCCUUCGGGCCUUGUAUGCUCGCCAGAGAAAACCAAAACUCUUUUUAUUAAUGUCGUCUGAGUACUAUAUAAUAGUUAAAACUUUCAACAACGGAUCUCUUGGUUCUGGCAUCGAUGAAGAACGCAGCGAAAUGCGAUAAGUAAUGUGAAUUGCAGAAUUCAGUGAAUCAUCGAAUCUUUGAACGCACAUUGCGCCCCUUGGUAUUCCGGGGGGCAUGCCUGUUCGAGCGUCAUUUCAACCCUCAAGCUUAGCUCGGUAUUGAGUCUAUGUCAGUAAUGGCAGGCUCUAAAAUCAGUGGCGGCGCCGCUGGGUCCUGAACGUAGUAAUAUCUCUCGUUUCAGGUUCUCGGUGUGCUUCUGCCAAAACCCAAAUUUUUCUAUGGUUGACCUCGGAUCAGGUAGGGAUACCCGCUGAACUUAAGCAUAUCAAUAAGCGGAGGA
rnacentral:rRNA from 1 species